rnacentral:rRNA from 1 species
GACGAACGCUGGCGGCGUGCUUAACACAUGCCAGUCGAACGGAAAGGCCCUGCUUGCAGGGUACUCGAGUGGCGAACGGGUGAGUAACACGUGGGUGAUCUGCCCUGCACUUCGGGAUAAGCCUGGGAAACUGGGUCUAAUACCGGAUAGGAGCCAUUUUUAGUGUGAUGGUUGGAAAGUUUUUUCGGUGUAGGAUGAGCUCGCGGCCUAUCAGCUUGUUGGUGGGGUAAUGGCCUACCAAGGCGGCGACGGGUAGCCGGCCUGAGAGGGUGGACGGCCACAUUGGGACUGAGAUACGGCCCAGACUCCGACGGGAGGCAGCAGUGGGGAAUAUUGCACAAUGGGCGCAAGCCUGAUGCGGCGACGCCGCGUGGGGGAUGACGGCCUUCGGGUUGUAAACUCCUUUCGCUAGGGACGAAGCUUUUUGUGACGGUACCUAGAUAAGAAGCACCGGCUAACUACGUG